ACGCUCGACACCUACUGGAGGCAGCAGUGGGGAAUAUUGCACAAUGGGGGAAACCCUGAUGCAGCGACGCCGCGUGAAGGAAGAAGUAUUUCGGUAUGUAAACUUCUAUCAGCAGGGAAGAAAAUGACGGUACCUGACUAAGAAGCCCCGGCUAACUACGUGCCCGCAGCCGCGGGUAAUACUGAGCGGGCGUGGCGAAGGC
rnacentral:rRNA from 1 species